rnacentral:rRNA from 1 species
CCUACGGGAGGCAGCAGUGGGGAAUAUUGGGCAAUGGGCGCAAGCCUGACCCAGCAACGCCGCGUGAAGGAAGAAUGCUUUCGGGGUGUAAACUUCUUUUCUGAGGGACGAAGAAAGUGACGGUACCUCAGGAAUAAGCCACGGCUAACUACGUGCCAGCAGCCGCGGUAAUACGUAGGUGGCAAGCUGUAUCCGGAGUUAUUGGGUGUAAAGGGCGGGUAGGCGGGAAAGCAAGGCAGAUGUGAAAACUCAGGUCUCAACCCUGAGCCUGCAUGUGAAACUGUGUUUCUUGAGUGCUGGAGAGGCAAUCGGAAUUCCGUGUGUAGCGGUGAAAUGCGUAGAUAUACGGAGGAACACCAGUGGCGAAGGCGGAUUGCUGGACAGUAACUGACGCUGAGGCGCGAAAGCGUGGGGAGCAAACAGGAUUAGAUACCCGUGUAGUC